GGAAAAUCUCCUUCCUAUAAGGAAGUAGCACUUGCCCCGCCAGGUACCAUUUCUAUGUUGCAGGAGAGAGUUUCUGAAGAUGAAAUUCCUGAUAACCCAGACGUUAUGAAACUUGAAAAGGAGAGCAAUGGAGCAGAAGAAAAUUCCAAAAUAAUGGGAAGAGAUGCAGAAUCCAUGGAGAAAGAGAACAUUCAGGAUCUAGUUGCAAAUUCUUCUGAUCAUGUAAAAAGUGAAACAGUAGAUACUGACAGUAAAGAAGAAAUUCAAAUGAGUGAUCUCAAAGGUGGUGAAAUUUCAGAUCUGAUAUCUGCAAAUGCAUCUAUUCAACCCGGCCAUGUUGAUGUUAGUCCAAUGGAACAGGGUAGUGUCAAGACUCAUAAUGUCCCUACUUCUGACAAUUCUCCCAAAGCGGAUCCCUGUGAAAAGGACUCAUCAAGCAAUUUAAAUCCUGGCGUUAUCUCAAAUAUGACCUUGCAAGAUAUGGAUCAUCUGAAGGUAAAAUCUGCGUCAUCUCAUGCAAGUGAUGCCAGUCGAGAAUUGUCCAGAAAGCUAUCUGCAUCAGCAGCACCAUUCAGCCCUUCCCCAGCUGUUCCCCGCGGUAC
rnacentral:misc_RNA from 1 species